rnacentral:rRNA from 1 species
UACGAAAGGUGCAAGCGUUACUCGGAAUCACUGGGCGUAAAGCGCACGUAGGCGGACUUACAGGUCAAUUGUGAAAUACCUGAGCUCAACUCAGGAACUGCAGUUGAAACCGUUUGUCUUGAAUACCUGAGAGGGUGGGGGAAUACCUGGUGGAGAAGUGAAAUUCGUAGAGAUCAGGUGGAACACCGGAGGCGAAGGCGCCUGCCUGGCAGUGUAUUGACGCUGAGGUGCGAAAGCCAGGGGAGCGAACGGG